rnacentral:rRNA from 1 species
AGCGAACGCUGGCGGCAGGCUUAACACAUGCAAGUCGAGCGGGCAUCUUCGGGUGUCAGCGGCGGACGGGUGAGUAACGCGUGGGAACGUGCCUUCUGGUUCGGAAUAACUCAGGGAAACUUGAGCUAAUACCGGAUACGCCCUUUUGGGGAAAGGUUUACUGCCGGAAGAUCGGCCCGCGUCUGAUUAGCCAGUUGGUGGGGUAACGGCCUACCAAGGCGACGAUCAGUAGCUGGUCUGAGAGGAUGAUCAGCCACACUGGGACUGAGACACGGCCCAGACUCCUACGGGAGGCAGCAGUGGGGAAUAUUGGACAAUGGGGGCGACCCUGAUCCAGCCAUGCCGCGUGAGUGAUGAAGGCCUUAGGGUUGUAAAGCUCUUUUAUCCGGGACGAUAAUGACGGUACCGGAGGAAUAAGCCCCGGCUAACUUCGUGCCAGCCGCCGCAGUAA